rnacentral:rRNA from 1 species
GGGUUGUGAGGUUAAGCGACUAAGCGUACACGGUGGAUGCCCUGGCAGUCAGAGGCGAUGAAGGACGUGCUAAUCUGCGAAAAGCGUCGGUAAGGUGAUAUGAACCGUUACAGCCGGCGAUGUCCGAAUGGGGAAACCCAGUGCGAUUCGUCACACUAUCGUUAACUGAAUACAUAGGUUAACGAGGCGAACCGGGGGAACUGAAACAUCUAAGUACCCCGAGGAAAAGAAAUCAACCGAGAUUCCCCCAGUAGCGGCGAGCGAACGGGGAGCAGCCCAGAGUCUGAAUCAGCUUGUGUGUUAGUGGAACGGUCUGGAAAGUCCGACGGUACAGGGUGAUAGUCCCGUACACCAAAAUGCACAGGCUGUGAACUCGAAGAGUAGGGCGGGACACGUGGUAUCCUGUCUGAAUAUGGGGGGACCAUCCUCCAAGGCUAAAUACUCCUGACUGACCGAUAGUGAACCAGUACCGUGAGGGAAAGGCGAAAAGAACCCCGGCGAGGGGAGUGAAAAAGAACCUGAAACCGUGUACGUACAAGCAGUGGGAGCACCUUAUGGUGUGACUGCGUACCUUUUGUAUAAUGGGUCAGCGACUUAUAUUCUGUAGCAAGGUUAACCGUAUAGGGGAGCCGCAGGGAAACCGAGUCUUAACUGGGCGUUAAGUUGCAGGGUAUAGACCCGAAACCCGGUGAUCUAGCCAUGGGCAGGUUGAAGGUUGGGUAACACUAACUGGAGGACCGAACCGACUAAUGUUGAAAAAUUAGCGGAUGACUUGUGGCUGGGGGUGAAAGGCCAAUCAAACCGGGAGAUAGCUGGUUCUCCCCGAAAGCUAUUUAGGUAGCGCCUCGUGAAUUCAUCUUCGGGGGUAGAGCACUGUUUCGGCUAGGGGGUCAUCCCGACUUACCAACCCGAUGCAAACUACGAAUACCGAAGAAUGUUAUCACGGGAGACACACGGCGGGUGCUAACGUCCGUCGUGAAGAGGGAAACAACCCAGACCGCCAGCUAAGGUCCCAAAGUCACAGUUAAGUGGGAAACGAUGUGGGAAGGCACAGACAGCCAGGAUGUUGGCUUAGAAGCAGCCAUCAUUUAAAGAAAGCGUAAUAGCUCACUGGUCGAGUCGGCCUGCGCGGAAGAUGUAACGGGGCUAAACUGUGCACCGAAGCUGCGGCA